CUGUGUUGCCCAAAAAGUUCAAUUGGGUUUUUCUGUAAGAUCUUAUUGAAAAAUCUGAAUGAACUUUUUGGUUAACCCAA
rnacentral:miRNA from 1 species